rnacentral:rRNA from 1 species
AGAGUUUGAUCAUGGCUCAGGAUGAACGCUGGCGGUGUGCCUUAAGCAUGCAAGUCGAACGCAAAUCCUACUUCGGUAGGACGAGAGUGGCAGACGGGUGAGUAACACGUAGGAAUCUACCCAGUAGUGGGGAAUAGCCUUCCGAAAGGAGGGGUAAUACCGCAUACUCCCGCAAGGGAAAAGACUUCGGUCGCUAUUGGAGGAGCCUGCGAGCUAUCAGCUUGUUGGUGAGGUAAAAGCUCACCAAGGCGACGACGGCUAGCCGGUGUGAGAGCAUGACCGGCCACAAGGUUACUGAGACACGGAGCCUACACCUACGGGUGGCAGCAACUGGGAAUCUUGCGCAAUGGGCGAAAGCCUGACGCAGCGACACCGCGUGUGGGAUGAAGCUCUUCGGAGUGUAAACCACUGUGGCAGGGGAUGAAGAGGACACUCCUGGCAGUAGACGACAAUAAAUACUUAUUCAUUAGUAUGGUUUUUGUUGAUCUACUCCUAGGUGUGUCCUUUGACAGUACCCUGCUAGAAAGCACCUGCUAACCACGUGCCAGAAGCCUCGGUAAUACGUGGGGUGCAAGCGUUAUCCGGAAUUACUGGGCGUAAAGCGUACCGUCGGCGGUCUAUCAAGUCAUUGGUUUAAUCCUGGGGCUCAACUCCAGAACAGCCAGUGAAACUGAUAGACUUGAGUUAGUUCGGGGUAGUUGGAAUUCUCUGUGGAGGGGUGAAAUCCGUAGAUAUAGAGAGGAACGCCAAUCGCGAAGGCUGGCUACUAGAACUUAACUGACGCUCAGGGACGAAAGCUAGGGUAGCAAAAGGGAUUAGAGACCCCUGUAGUCCUAGCCGUAAACACUCCUUGCUAGUUGCUUGGUCAUUUAUUUGACUGGGUGACGUAAGCUAACGCGUUAAGCAAGGCGCCUGGGGAGUACGGCCGCAAGGCUAAAACUCAAAGGAAUUGACGGGAGAGCGCACAACCGGUGGAGCAUGUGGUUUAAUUCGAUACAAAGCGAAAAACCUUACCCAGGUUUGACAUCUAGCUGCACGACCCUGGAAACAGGGUAAGUCUUCGAGAGUGCUAGACAGGUGAUGCAUGGCUGUCGUCAGCUCGUGUCGUGAGACGUCCUUUUAAGUAAGGUAACGAGCGCAACCCUUAUCCCGUGUUAUACGUGUCACGGGAGACUGCCUCGCUUAUAGCGGGGAGGAAGGAGAGGACGACGUCAAGUCAGCAUGUCCCUUACACCUGGGGCUACACACAUCCUACAAUGGGGUCGACAACGGGUAGCGAAGUCGCAAGACUAAGCCAAUCCUUUAAACGACUCCUCAGUUCGGAUUGUGGGCUGCAAUUCGCCCACAUGAAGUCGGAAUCGGUAGUAAUCGCAAAUCAGCAGGUUGCGGUGAAUACGUUCUCGCUCUUUGUACGCACUGCCCGUCAAGCCAGCAAAGUCGGCAGCGCCCGAAGCGGGUGACCUGAACCUUCGGGACAGGCCCUUCUACGGUGAGGUCGGCGAUGAGGACUAAGUCGUAACAAGGUA